GACGAACGCUGGCGGCGUGCUUAACACAUGCAAGUCGAACGGAAAGGCCCUGCUUUUGUGGGGUGCUCGAGUGGCGAACGGGUGAGUAACACGUGAGUAACCUGCCCUUUACUUUGGGAUAACUUCAGGAAACUGGGGCUAAUACCGGAUAGGAGCUCCUGCUGCAUGGUGGGGGUUGGAAAGUUUCGGCGGUUGGGGAUGGACUCGCGGCUUAUCAGCUUGUUGGUGGGGUAGUGGCUUACCAAGGCUUUGACGGGUAGCCGGCCUGAGAGGGUGAACGGCCACAUUGGGACUGAGAUACGGCCCAGACUCCUACGGGAGGCAGCAGUGGGGAAUAUUGCACAAUGGGCGGAAGCCUGAUGCAGCAACGCCGCGUGCGGGAUGACGGCCUACGGGUUGUAAACCGCUUUCGCCUGUGACGAAGCGUGAGUGACGGUAAUGGGUAAAGAAGCACCGGAUAACUACGUG
rnacentral:rRNA from 1 species